UAUAUGUAACUGAAAAGUAUUAAAAGCAUGUUUAUGUAUAGUUGAUACGCGCUUUUUGCAAGGAAUUAUGUACAGGGUAUCCAUUUUACUUUGCUAAUUAUAUGUCAUUUAUUGCAAUAAAAUUUAAUUUCUUGAUGUGUGCUAAACCUAUCUAUCAACCUCAAACCGCAUUCAAUUUCGAAGAUCGAGUAAUUACCACGAAUUUAUGACUUGCACAAUAUAUGACCACAAUUUAUCAAAUCUCAGACGUUCACUUUUAUCAUGCAGUGCAGAAUGAUAAAUUAUCUUCAGUCUGCUAAGAGUGAAACUGCAAGAGUCACUACAGAGUACGAGUAUGUUGGAAGGAGUUUCUUAGACCAUGGCCAAAAUAUAUAAGUUGCACACGCUGACACUUCUAAUUGACGUUUUUCGUCUCCGCAUUAACCCGUGAAGAAAGACAUUCACCAUCUAAGUUUCGAAGAGGAAGAACAAGAAGACACUGUGUACGGGGAAGGUCUUCAAAAGUACCACUCCACUGACUUCCAUGAUGACUCCACAUUCCACAUUGACUUGGUAGAAGAGUUUAAGCGAUACCAUCGUCUGGGACCGUAGGCGGAGAUCCUUGGAGGCUACAGAGAAGAUCAGUACCACCACUCUUGCUGGAGAAGACUUGGUUUACGAGCAAGCUGGACGAAGGAAAGGAAGAUGAGACGACAACAUCAAUGCCUGAGGAUGAAGGGAAAAUGGGCUAAAGAAGAAUGCCGCAAGAAGAGGUGGAAAAUGUUAACAGAUGUUAUCAGUUACAACAGACAUUGGUUUAUCGGUACGGUUUGCAAUAAAUACUGUUGUUUUUUACCAAUUUUUGCGACCAGAAAUCCCUUACUUGUAAGUAAGAUCUCUAAACAAGUAUUUCCUACUAUAUUGUUUUGUAUUUUGCGUGUUUUUGUACUAUGAAUAAAACUUAUAUUUUUACUAUGAGUCUUUAAACUAGUAAUUUAUUUUGUAAUUAUUAGUGUUUGUAUAUACAAUCUAUUCAAAGUCUGUCUAAUUAUAAUAA